rnacentral:misc_RNA from 1 species
GAUGAAGAACGCAGCGAAAUGCGAUACUUAGUGUGAAUUGCAGAAUUCAGUGAAUCAUCGAAUCUUUGAACGCACAUUGCACCUCUCGGUAUUCCGGGAGGUAUGCCUGUUCGAGCGUCAUUUGUACCCUCAAGCUCUGCUUGGUGUUGGGUGUUUGUUCCGCCUCUGUGUGUGAACUCGCCUCAAAACAAUUGGCAGCCGGCGUACUUGUUUCGGAGCGCAGCACAUUUUGCGAUCCAGAUCAACGUACAGCGGCAUCCAAGAAGCCUUAUUUAACGCUCUUGACCUCGGAUCAGGUAGGGAUACCCGCUGAACUUAAGCAUAUCAAUAAGCGGAGGA